rnacentral:pre_miRNA from 1 species
AAGCUCUCGUUGGAGAAGCAGUGCACGUGCAUAUUACAAAAUUAGUUGCACACAAUGAUUUGUAUUCAUGUGUGUGAAAUGUGCACGUGCUCCCCUUCUCCAACAGGCGCUC